rnacentral:rRNA from 1 species
UACGUAGGUGGCAAGCGUUGUCCGGAAUUACUGGGUGUAAAGGGAGCGCAGGCGGGGGAACAAGUCAGUUGUGAAAUCCAUGGGCUUAACCCGUGAACUGCAGUUGAAACUGUUCUUCUUGAGUGAAGUAGAGGUUGGCGGAAUUCCGAGUGUAGCGGUGAAAUGCGUAGAUAUUCGGAGGAACACCGGUGGCGAAGGCGGCCAACUGGGCUUUUACUGACGCUGAGGCUCGAAAGUGUGGGGAGCAAACA